AUAAGGGCAUACAAAAAAUUAACAUAAAUAUUUACGAUUUUUAAACAAAAUUCAAAUGAGACUUAAUUAAACUAUAAACUCUCAAUAUGUGAUCCAACUUUGAUUCAUAACAUUGAAGAACUGCUGAGCAAUUCAGAUACUCUUCAUACUUUCAACAUUUACUUGUUACCUAAAAAACAUCACCCUCAACAUAGUGAAUAUAAAAUUCAGUAACAUAAAUUUAAUAAAACAAUUAUAUAUAUUUUCUAAUCAUACUGUUGUACUAAAUAUGGAAAACCGUAUCGAGAAAUUAUAUCUCAAUUUAUUAAAACUCUAUUUAUUUGUAAGCUAUACUUAAAUACUUCUAGUAUCAAAUAUUUCAAACAAUUUAAUUCACUAGACAUGAGUAAUCUUCUCACUUAAACUCUACAUAUUAAGUAAGUCAUAAAGACUACAUUAGUUUCACACAAUACCUUCUACUUGAAUUGCCUCUUUUGGUAAUAUUAUACCUAUUUAAGUCUAUAAGUGGUGCCUCACCCCAUUUAUCAUCGCUUACCCUCUCAUCGCUUACCCUCUCACUCCCAUAGUAUAUAAAUGUAGAACACACACAUAAACACACGUCUUCUUUUAGACUCAACCAAUUUUACUAAAAAAACAAAUUUUAUAACUCAAGAUAUAGAUAUUUUAAAAUGACUAAUGGAUAACAACUUAUAAAAUAGAACAAUCUACUCUGUAAAGUCACAAAAUUUGUUAAAUUAAUAUAAAUUUUUAUAGUUACAAUGUACUAGUAAUAAAUUUUCAAGAGCAAUUGUUUUCACUCAAAACCGACUCAUAUUACUUAUGUUAUACACAUUUUAACUCAACUACAUCCUAAUAUUUUUAAAACAUUAUAACUUUUGACAAUUUAAUUAAAAUAUCAAAUGAUGUUCGAAUUGAAUAAAUUAUAAUAUUAUAAAAAACUUAAGAUGUCUAGUUUACAAAUAUAAUUUUUAUUCUGCACAACAAAUAUUCAAUUAAUACAGUUUAAUAAAAUAAGGUAUAUAUCUACAAAAACAAAACAACAUAUUUUUUUUUUCAACUUGUAACUCAAUGUUUUUUAUUAAUAGGACAUAAAUCAACUCUAAACACUAUCAAUGGAGAAAGUUAUGAACAAAAUAUCAAAUGUAUACUUAUACGGGUUCAAAGACAACAUUAUAUUUUUUUCAUUUCAAACUUUAUAUUCUCAAGUUCAUCUGCUCAACUAAGUAAAAUAUAUUUCAAAAUUCAACAUAAAUUCAAUUAGUUAUCAAUACUAAACAAUUAUCAUCUCAUCACUAACCUAACCACAACACUUAAUAAUCAUAAUAAACAACAACUCUUCAUAGUAAUUAAAACAAACACAUGCAUUGUUAAUAAUCAAUGAUACUAAAUCAAAUAUGAUUAUCACAAUACCCAAAAAUACAAAUCAUGAACAUUAGCAACAUACCAUCAAGAUCUCUAAACACAUCUAAAAUAGGUUUUAUAUAUUACCUCUAAGAACGAAAAUCAAAUGAGAUAAAAUUCACCAUUGUUAAAGUUUUAUGUUUCCUUUUCAAACAUGCAAGAAUCCUAACUUCAAAAUUGACUUAUUAUUUCUCUAUUCUCCUUCCAUGACUGAACCCUUAAUCUUCUUUGUCUUCUUGUUUCCUUCGUGUCAUUCUUCUUUGUUCUCUUCAUCCCUCACUCCUCCUUCCUCUCUCACAAUUUCCCUUAUCUCAUUUUUUCUUUCUCUCGACUAUCUUUCAUUUUACGGUUUUAUUUUUGGGUCUUUCUUUCUUUUCUUUUUCUAUGUGAUGAAAUGAAGUUAGAAAAAGUCAAAGUUGCAUGAUCCUCAUUGGUUAGGUUUGAGGUGAAUGAAGGCAAG
rnacentral:lncRNA from 1 species